UACGUAGGGGGCAAGCGUUGUCCGGAAUCAUUGGGCGUAAAGAGCGUGUAGGCGGUUCGGUAAGUCGGCUGUGAAAGUCCAGGGCUCAACCCUGGGAUGCCGGUCGAUACUGCCGGACUAGAGUUCGGAAGAGGCGAGUGGAAUUCCCGGUGUAGCGGUGAAAUGCGCAGAUAUCGGGAGGAACACCUAUGGCGAAAGCGGCUCACUGGACCAUAACUGACGCUGAGGCGCGAAAGCUAGGGGAGCAAACAGG
rnacentral:rRNA from 1 species